rnacentral:rRNA from 1 species
UGGGGAAUUUUGGACAAUGGGGGCAACCCUGAUCCAGCCAUGCCGCGUGCGGGAAGAAGGCCUUCGGGUUGUAAACCGCUUUUAGUCGGGAAGAAAAGGCCUGGGCGAAUACCCUGGGUUUUUGACGGUACCGGCGGAAUAAGCACCGGCUAACUACGUGCCAGCAGCCGCGGUAAUACGUAGGGUGCGAGCGUUAAUCGGAAUUACUGGGCGUAAAGCGUGCGCAGGCGGUUCGUUAAGUCUGAUGUGAAAGCCCCGGGCUCAACCUGGGAAUGGCAUUGGAAACUGGCGGGCUUGAGUGUGGCAGAGGGGGGUGGAAUUCCGCGUGUAGCAGUGAAAUGCGUAGAGAUGCGGAGGAACACCGAUGGCGAAGGCAGCCCCCUGGGCUAACACUGACGCUCAGGCACGAAAGCGUGGGGAGCAAACAGG